CCCUCGCAUCUCCAAGCAUCUGGUCACAGCCCCGGCCUCCCUGCCAGGUCUCCAGGCAGGCGCUGGGCAAAGGAAAGGAGGCAGGGGACAGUGGGUAGACCUUCCCCAGCCCGGAGAGACCCCUCACUCCGCCUUGGCCUCAGUGAAUCAGGGAGUGCUCCUGACCUGGUGGGCUGCUGCUCCAUUCUGCCUGAAGCUCAGCGCCUUGGAGUCACUACCUUGGGCCACUUGCAUUGUCGACUAUUGAUUGGCCCCGCAAAAGAGGCCUCACCUUGCAGGAAGCAGGCCUGGCACCAGUGUGGAGGCAGGUGCUUUGCUUCUUCCCAGGCCAGGUGGGGCCCCUCUGCUGAGCCCCACCCCAGGGCACAACUGCCAGGCUGCCCGUGAAGCCGCUGGCGUUGGGUUGUUUUAAGACUUAAAGAAGAUAGUACAUACGAAAGUUAUUUGGAAACCGAAAAGUUAAGACAUAAGACAGGGUCUCUGCCCAUGAGGAACUUCCAGUUUGGAAAGAGAUGAAAAAUACAUGAGAUAACUAUAGCAUGAGACAGAAUGUGGCAAGAGCGUUCGGAGAACGAUAAACAGCGUGUUACUUGGAAACACGGAGGAGGUAAAAUUACUUGUGGUUCUAGAGGAGAGCGCCAGAAUGUUUGAGUUGAAUAUUGAAGAAUGGCGGAGGUCCUGUCAGGUAGAAAUACAGAACUGGGGCAGCAGGAGAAGCAGGAAGCUGUGGCACAGGUUUGGAGAAUGGGAGAAGUUUGUGUUUGGAUGGAGGGCAGAGACCCUCUGGGUAACAGAGAAAAGGGGAGUCUAGAAGGGCAGUUCGGGGCCAGACUGCAGACACCUUGAAGGCUGCACUUGGCAAAAUGCCAUCGGUGAACCUUUGUUGGUGCCUUCCGUGAGUAGAGCCACUGAAAGUUCUGGGGGAGGAGCUGACAGCGGGGUAAACCCAUCAGGGGUAGUGAGGUUCUGCCGUCUCUGGGGCCUGGGAUGCAUGCAGAAUGCGGGUGUCUGCCUCAGAACCUCAGUCUGGAGGCAGCUGGUGAGCUGGAG
rnacentral:lncRNA from 1 species